CGGCGGCGGCGGCGGCAGGUGGCCCCGCGCGCGGCGGCCGGCCCGGCCGGGGGCGGGCAGGAAGGUGGCGCCUCGGGCGGGGGCCGGUCCCUGCACCAGGUGACCUGCUCUGGCCCGGAUCCGGGCGGCCUCGCUAUGCAGCGGCGCCGCGCGGGGCUCGGGUGGCCGCGGCAGCAGCAGCAACAACCCCCGCCGCCCGCGGUCGGUCCCCGGGCCGCAGCCAUGGCCCCCCCCGAGCGGCGGCGUUCCCCCGGGCCUCGGCGGCCGCCCUGCCUGCGCUCUGCUCCUGUUCUGCUACCUGUUUCCGCCGGGUCCUCAUGGCCCGGACCGUUUUCUGCCAACGCACCCGCGACGAACCCUCGCGUUUCCAGCGCUCUUCAACUCCUCCGUGGUCACUCCAGCCAAGUUGCGGAUGCCAGAAAGAAAUCGAGUUCUUUGUAACACGCUUACCGCCAGAGUGGUGACUUUAGCUGCGUCUUGAACAUUGUCAUUUCAGAGAACACGCUUGGCUUAGGCACGUCAGUUUACCAUUUGCACUCUUCUUGGCUUCGGUUUCAGUCAUCUACUAAAUGGCAGUAGCCUAUUUUUCAAAACCAGCUCACUUAAAAUACCAGAAUAAUUUAAACACUCAGCACAAGGUGGGGGAAUAUUCCUCAGUUCCUUUGAUGGCCUUCUUUCUUCUGCUUUGAAUUCUCCCAAACAAUAAUAAAUUUAACCGAAGGCGACACCCUUCCUGUCCAGCCUACCUUAUGUUCCAGGAUCCUGCAGAAAGCUUGGGUUAUCUCGCCAUAUAUUACUGUAAAUAAGUGAAAUCGAAAAUGCUGAAUCAUGAAACUGAUGUAAUAGGAAAUUCACAGAAUGCUUAAAAUUGAGCAAUGUCAUUGUCCAGAAUUGUUCUCAUUUAUAUGGUAUCGCUAUUAUUUGGAGUCUUUCUUCGUAGAGGCUAAAAACUGUUUAGGAGAGAGACAUUGUCAGGCAUUAGGAUUUGAUUCCAAGGAAAUUGCCACCCAGCCCAAGUUUCUUUUAACACUCUUUACUUCUCAGCUGUUGCAUUUCUUGAAGCAAGAGGGUGUAAAAAUGCAAAUUGUAAUUCUGCUUUAGCGUCUACCUGUUGAGCAAUCCAUGCUUUUCCUCCUAUUUUAAAGUUAACUAGUACCAAAUUUCAUGGUUGGAUUUACUUGAUAUCUUCAGAAGAAGUUGUCAGUUAACAUGCAUGGGUUGUUUUUUUUUUUUUUUUUUCUUUCCACCCAAGAUGUAUUAUUAUUUAAUAUUUGUGCCACAGGGUUUCAGCACACAGGCUCAUAAAUAUAACUGCCAAAACAAAUGACAGGGUUUCAGUUUAAACAGAUGAUCACCGUCCACAAGGCACUGGUUACCCACAGAGGCAGAAAUGAUGUAGUAGAAUAGUGUGUGAAACAUUAAUAUACAGGUGGUCUGGAAAGUUCCAUGCGGAAAUCCGAAGACCUGGCAAGGAGAGACCACUUCUUGACGGUUCUGAGAAAUCUGAGUAACAGGAGAAAGCUUAAAGGCCUAGUGGUCUACGGGAACAGAGGCAGAUGAGGGAGCAAGUAGAAAAGUUCUUUUGGGACCAAGGGGGAUUUAAGGGACCACGUCACAGAGAGGGGACAGAGAUGCUGUGCGCAGAGCAGAGUUAGAGAGUGAAGUGGUGAGGUCAGGGCUCUGAAGGGAGAGAUUUAUAGAAAAUACUGUAAUGUGGGAACUAACCAGAGCACGACUGAGUGUCUUGGCAGAUGGGGAAGGAUUGGAUUUUGGAACCACCGUGAAGAGGGAAAUGUCAGUGCUUCCUGACUCUGUGUGAUUCCUUCAGAUGGGCUUCAGAGAGGCUACUGUACAGAAAAGGCUUAGUAAGCAAGCAAACCAUUUUGCAACUGAACAAGACUCUUUUGUCAAGUCCAGGAGAGCAAAAGUGUGAUUUGGGAGAUGGGCUUCACCUUUUGUUCUAAAGGUCUAGCCAUUUCCAUAGGAUUCUGCUCUAGAGGUAUGUGCUAUCUGAGCCUCUGGUGAAAGGUGAGGCUUCCUGACCUUGGAGAAAUUCACUGUGCAAGGUGGGGAACAUCUGCCUGAAGCACGAGAUACAGAAAACGACAGAGGGAAAAAAAGGCAUAAUUGUGUCCAUUCUCCUCGUCAAGGAAUACUGCCUAGAGGAAGUGAUUGGUCAGGGGAGGCGAGGCGGGCAGGUGGAGAGUAGAUGUGGAGCAGAAUAGCUAGGGAGGAUCUCAGGAACAUGUAGACCCUAGAGGGAGAAAGCUAGCCCAUAAUUUGGAAAACAUAAAUAAUAAUGAUAGCUUGCGUUGUUUAUAUGCAUUAUCCAGUAUAUUUUUUAAAGAUUUAUUUAUUUGAGAGAGCACACGUGAGCAGGGGGGAGAGGCAGAGGGAGAAGGAGAGAAUCCUCAAGCAGACUCCCCAUUGAACGUGGAGCCCUAUGCAGGGCUCAACGUGCGGCUCGAUUCUAGGACCCUGAGAUCAUGACCUGAGCCGAAAUCAAGAGUCGGACCCUCAACCAACUGAGCCAACCUGUCGCCCCUGCAUUCUCCAGUGUUAAUUUUAACGACAACCUUGUGAAGUAAGAGCUGUUAUGAUCCUCAUUCGGAUGAGGUAACUAAGACUCAGAGAGGUUAAGUAAGUUGCCCUGGG
rnacentral:lncRNA from 1 species